UGAAAAUUUGGUCAUAUUAUACAUUUACAUUCCACUAUAAUAUAAGUUAAAAUUGUAACUAGUUACACUUAAAGAUACGAUCUUUGACCUCUCUCUUUUUUUUUUUUUUUUUAUUCGUUCUUAAUUGGUAAUUAUCUUAUUUUGACUGAUAUCUAUAGGUUAGUUAAGUAUCAUCAAAUGGUAAUAUUGAUGGAUGGAUGGAUGGACAAUCAAUCCACUACGCAGCUAAGGGACCAAGUUUCCUUAUGUGACGAACUAGGAUCGCGA
rnacentral:lncRNA from 1 species